rnacentral:rRNA from 1 species
UACAGAGGGGCAAGCGUUGUUCGGAAUUACUGGGCGUAAAGGGCGCGUAGGCGCCUUCUAAGUCGAACGUGAAAUCCCUGGGCUCAACCCAGGAACUGCGUCCGAUACUGGAAGGCUUGAAUCCGGGAGAGGGAUGCGGAAUUCCAGGUGUAGCGGUGAAAUGCGUAGAUAUCUGGAGGAACACCGGUGGCGAAGGCGGCAUCCUGGACCGGUAUUGACGCUGAGGCGCGAAAGCCAGGGAGCAAACGGG